rnacentral:tRNA from 1 species
UUCCUGGUACCACAGAUGGUAAAGAAUUUGCCUGCAGUGCAGGAGACCCAGGUUUGAUCCCUGGUCAGGAAG